AAUUUUCAGCCCUAAUUCAUCCAUUAACACAUCAGCCAACAGCUGAAUUCUUUGACAUCUCCCAGUAUACACACUCAUUGUUUCUCCAGAUAUCUGCACACAUUUCAGAGUUUUUUCAUAGAUUUUGAAUCACUUCAGGAUCAAAAUGUUGGAAAGCAGAGGCCCAUUCGUAGAACUUCUUAAUGUCAACACUGGUGAAAUCGAAGCCCUGAUGUGCAGUCUAUGUAAGGACAUUUAAAAAAAUGAUGAUUUGAGGAUAUUGGAAUAUCACAGAUAAAUGUUGAUGAAACUGGAGCAAACACAUUAUUAACUACCGAACAACUUCAUGAACUAUUAACAAAAAUUUUUAUAUUCUGCAACAUACCAUUUCGAGUAGUUGAAAGCUUACACUUCAAAAACUUUGUGGAAGCUUUGCAAAAAUGUGAGAAUUUUUACACCACUCCUUGCAGGCAGACUUUGGGCCCUUCUUGUGUACAACGUGUUCAUAAGACAAUUACUGAGGAGAGGUUCAAGUUGCUCAACAACACACCAAGUGUUU